rnacentral:tRNA from 1 species
GGGCCCAUAGCUCAGGGGUUAGAGCCGCCGCCUCCAAAGCGGAUGGUCGCGGGUUCGAAUCCCGCUGGGUUUU